UAUUUUAUCCUCCUUCCCCACCCCACCCCAAACUCCACACAAAAAACCCUUCCCCCUUUUGGUUUCAUCUCCACCUAUUUCUAUUUUCUUCCUUGACAAUCUUCUCCCGUUUUGCUUUUUUUUUUUGUUGCUCAAGAUUUGAAAUUUUUCCUAAAAUUCAAUCAUUUUGUUUGAAUUUAAGUUUUAAAUUUAUUAUUUUAGAAUUUGUUGACAGAGCGGCCUUUGUAGUUCUUUUAGUUUUGCCAACAAAAGAUCUAAAAAUUUUCUUCUUGUUAUUUUCUUUUGGCUUAUCAUUCUAGCUUUGUACAAGAAAAAAAUAAUAAUGGAAAGAAGAGGAAGGUCAAAGAUAGAGUUUCCGGCAAAAUUUCAUUUGGGCAUGGUGUUUGUGUAUCUAUUUGGCUGUUGCAAUUAGUAGUUUUGUUAUACAAAGAAGAAUGGGUUGUAAUGGUGGAGAAGGCGGUGAAGUGGUAGGGAAGGUGUUACACUGAUUGUAGGUAUUUUUUUUAUUUGAGCUAGUCGGUAUUGUAAAGGUGUCACCGUGUCGUUUGAUUAAAAUGGUGCUUUUUAAUUCAGAGAUGUGCGUGUAUAUACAGCAUUGAAUAUUAACUAGGCUAGUCAAAAGUAAUAUAUAAUUGACACACAUUUGAAAGGUUUAGUGUAUAAAAUUCAAUAUGUGGUCAACAGGUUGUAACAGGAAUUUGAG
rnacentral:lncRNA from 1 species